UGUUCAGGGCUAUUGCCUGUUGUAUAAAAACAGGAGUUCAUGUGGUUUCGAUAGUCAGAAAACAGCGAUGGCUCUCGUUGAGCUCCUCCUCCUUUUCUGCAUAUCUCCAGUUUGGGCCACAAUGUCAUGUCACCUGUGUGAGAACAUCUCCCUAAAGCUCCAGUCGCAAUGGAAGGAAGGUGUAGACAUGGAAACACUGCAGCAGGAAGUCUGCAACUCGCUGCCUCAUGAGUCCAAUUUGGUGGAAGGAUAAUAUUAAUUUUGAAAAGGAGCAAGGAAAGAUUUACAAGGCUGUUACCGAGACUGGAAGGUAUGAGUUAUAACGCGAGACUGGGAAGGUUGGGAAGUUUUUUUUCCUAGAGUUUAAGAGGAUGAGUGGGUACCAUAAAGAAAUGUAGUA